rnacentral:rRNA from 1 species
UACGGAGGGUGCGAGCGUUGUCCGGAAUCAUUGGGCGUAAAGGGCGCGUAGGUGGCCCGCUCAGCGGGCGGUGAAAGCUCGGGGCUCAACCCCGAGUCGGCCGUGCGAACUGGUGGGCUGGAGCACUGUAGAGGCAGGCGGAAUUCCGGGUGUAGCGGUGGAAUGCGUAGAGAUCCGGAAGAACACCGGUGGCGAAGGCGGCCUGCUGGGCAGUUGCUGACACUGAGGCGCGACAGCGUGGGGAGCAAACAGG